rnacentral:misc_RNA from 1 species
GUACAAUUCUCUUAGUUUAGACUAAAUUUAGUGUUGAUACGGCAGCGGGCAGCGUCUCUUGCGAGACACCCGCCAAAACAUACUAGGUUGGGGUAGGUAAGGAUGAUUCAAUAAUGAUCCAUCCGCAGGUUCACCUACGGAUA